UGCCAGCAGCCGCGGUAAUACGGAGGUCCCAAGCGUUGUUCGGAUUCACUGGGCGUAAAGGGUGCGUAGGCGGUCGGGAAAGUUUGAUGUGAAAGCUCCGGGCUCAACCUGGAAAAUGCAUUGAAAACUAUUCGACUAGAGGAUUGUAAGGGAGACUGGAAUUCUCGGUGUAGCAGUGAAAUGCGUAGAUAUCGAGAGGAACACCAGUGGCGAAGGCGAGUCUCUGGACAAUUCCUGACGCUGAGGCACGAAGGCGUGGGUAGCGAACGGGAUUAGAUA
rnacentral:rRNA from 1 species